CCCUUAGACGUUCUGGGCCGCACGCGCGCUACACUGACCAGUGCAACAAGCAUCCGUCCUUGGCCGACAGGCUCGGGCAAUCUUUGAACGCUGGUCGUGAUGGGGAUAGACUUUUGCAAUUUUUGGUCUUCAACGAGGAAUUCCUAGUAAACGCAAGUCAUCAACUUGCAUUGAUUACGUCCCUGCCCUUUGUACACACCGCCCGUCGCACCUACCAAUUGAAUGGUCCGGUGAAGCCUCCGGAUUGGCGCGCACCUCGGUGCCGCCGAGAAGUUGGCUAAACCUUACCAUUUAGAGGAAGGUGAAGUCGUAACA
rnacentral:rRNA from 1 species